CGCUAGCCUCUUGAGCUCGUGGUUGGAGAGUGGGGGUUUGUUUCUUACACUUGAAGUCCCUUCAACUCAACUGGCUGGAACAUUCCUCCACCUCCUGGAGAACUGGCUGAUUCACUUGGCCCUCAGGCCCCAGCAGUAAUACCAGAAGAACCAGAUAAACCACACAGACAAAAGCAGUGCAGGAAAAGCCUCCAGAAAUGAGAUUCUCACAGAGCCGCGGCCCACCAUACAGGCUGGAACCUGCCUGCUCAGGCUCAUGGGGACUGGCUGCUGAAAUAAAACCACUUCCCAGCACGCCCUGCAUCUUAAUGUAAUAGAAAACAGGUCUCAGACACAACAGCAGCAGCAGCAGCAACAACAACAACAAGCACCCAUCAGUUUCCCAAACUGGGAAAGUUGCAGCUUGACCGUGAAGAGAAACUCAGCUGAUGCUAACAUACAACAGAAUCUUGUAUACACAACCAGUGGUGAGGCCCCAAGAAAUAAUAGACAAUGACCACACCCAAGAGGGGAAGAAACCACGGAAACAGAAGCAGGCCCAGAUGUUGGGGUUAUCAGACAGAUUCGAAUACAAGCAUGAAACAUAUAUUAAAGGAUUCCACAGCAAAGAGACAACUCACAUGGAUACAGUUCGGGUAUUUUAACAGAGAUUUGGAAAGUAUGGAAGACUUGAGCUACGAUUUCCUCAGAAAUGUGGUCAGGAAACUUAAAAUC
rnacentral:lncRNA from 1 species